ensembl:lncRNA
GUCAUUCUGGGGAUGGAUAUUGCCUGUUAACAACAGCCCUCUGUUAGCCAGUGGGCCUUGUGUUCGGACUCUAACAAGAUAAAUGUGGACACUGUCUGUCACCCAUGGGCAUUAUUGCACAUCCUUUACCAUGGACUGAUGCUGAUGAUGCAGGACUGGAACAUUUGUUUGCUUUCAAUGGGCAUGCCCCACCCCCCCUUUAUUCCCCAUUUCCAAAUAACACACUAUGGUUAUAUUUUAAGUCCGGAAAAUAGUUUGUGGUCAUAACUGGCCUCCCACAGACAGGAGAACCAGGAGGAGGGAGCACACCAGGCCACCUACAGUGCAUGUCCGCCCAGGAAGGACAGUGCGUAAGAGGGCAAGAAGAUGGGAAGGCCCGGGAGACGGCAGUUGUUGCUUUCGUGAUGUUUCUCGAUGACAAAAAGUGAAACUUUUUGAAAUGAUCAAAGAUGUCAAUUAAUUCUAUAAAACACUCAAUCAGAAGGAGAAAAAAAACAUUGGGACUUAUUUAACGUGUAAAUAAAUCAAUCAUAAGGAACAAGUUACAUAUUCUGCUUCUUCUGAAACACAAACUGCUUGUGGCCAGAAGAGGAGCCUUAUCCACAACCCAUUGUGAGGGAGGCCGUCUGUCCAGGAGAGUGCUUCAGGAGGGAGGUGAAGAUUCCCACCAAAUGCUCUCCUCGUCUUGUUUUAAUGAUAAAUAUUUUUCUAUUUGCUGCCAGCACUCUCCACCAUGUCACUAUUUCUGCAGAGGUUGUCCAUUACUGAAGUUAUUACUCAUGUCUCUGAGUCACAUCCCCUAACCAGAAACCUAUAUGACAGGGAAUUUUAGAGCCCUUCAUUCUUCUCAAAUUGAUAUUUUGAAAGAGCAUUGUUGUGCCAUGAUAACAUUGUUCCAUUUCCUAAUUUGCCAACCCCAAGCAAACGCACACAUAAUGCUUUGAUAAUGAUAUCAUGAUCUGGUGAACUAGUGGAUUGAGAUAUGCCCCACAUAUUACAUACCAAUUGUUGGUUUACUCAAAAUGGCUUCUGACACCAGUUCUCAUUCCAGGUGACCUUGUAAUAAAUGUUGUGCCAAUGUCUUUACAAAUGGGACAUCCCACACUCAGUUCAAUCUAUGUCUUGUCAUGUCGGGCCUUUUUCUUCAUCCACCCCUACCCCCUCCAAUCCACCUGGCCUGGAUCUCAUGCCUUUGGUGACUUUGGUCUGCCUGUUUUAUAAUGUUCUAUUUCUGUCCGCAUGCUGACGAUUGGGAAAACCACAUACUGAUAUUAGGGUGUGCACUGAACUAGAAACAGACAUUAUGGAGCUAGACUAUUUCCUGUCUGACAUGCCCUAGAACCACAAGCACAUUUCUUCACAAACACACACAUAUAUGCGUGCGCGCACGCACACACACACACACACAUACGCACACACACACGCUCUCACUGGUCACUUUGGUGUCUCUGAAGCCAGCUACUCACUGACCCUCACAUAGCCCUUAAACUCCAGAGUAGAUUGCUCCAGCCACUGCAGAAAGAGAUACGUGUUUUAUGAGGCUAUACUCCAGAGGGACUCUUUCCUCUUUUAUCGACAUCCUGAUAAGUUUGUAGACCAGUCUUCAUUAUUUAGUUACAUUAUUGUUUCCUUGAGCAGUACUCACACCACCAGUCUAGCAAUGGUCUGAACGAUUUUGCCACAAUUUGUAAUUACAAGUUGAAAUAGAGUCAUUUUGAUCACAAUUAAAUUAACCGCUAAUAAGUAAUCGGUUUACCAUUAUCUUUUAUCCAAGAUAAGCACUGACAGGGCCAUUGGAAUGAACAGACCCCGCUGCCUUGCAUUAACUCGUCUUUUGUGCCAUUAUUCUAAUGCCAUGCUGUAUAGGGGCUUUUAGUACAGGGGAUGCAUGCAAAUUGUGCAUGUUUGAGCUGAACUUUAGGAACGUCUGUGCUAGCCCAGUAACGCCGUCAGGCUUUGUUUUUUCCUCUGCUUUGUUUGUUUUGAGUUCUGUUCCCUCUUCUUCCCCCACCCUCAGAGUUUGAGCUCAAAUCCCUGCUGGCAACAGAUUUAGCUGAAGGGGGGUGAAUGAAGGAAUGGCUAAAUACAAAUCUCUAGGGGAAAUGAGAGAUGAGGGAAGAGAGAACGGGAAAAUAAAGGAGGAAUAGAAAGAUUUUAUUUUGAAUACAAGGAAUAAAAACGGGGGGAAAAAAACAGGAAUUGUACUGUAUUUGGUUAGAACGAAGUUUCUGUGCCCCAUGCACACUAGGGAAUGCAAUCCUAACAUCUUGCUACACAUAGUUGCUCAUAUACACAUACGGCACAGAGACACCUGCCUAUCUUCUUAAUCCUCCUGUGUGCAGUCUUAUCACGCCUGGUGCACAUGGCUGAGUAUGCAGGACACAGUGAACGGUCUCAUCAUUGUGUACUGCCCCCCACGCACCCCACCCCCCGGGCCCAACAUCUGCCACUGAUGUGCCGUGGCUUUUGAUGCCCAGGCUCUGUCCUUGCGGGUGCACACCGAGUUUGUGCCAUUUUAAACCUGGCCCAGGGAUUUGACCACGGCUCAGUGUUCGGCAGCGUCUCGGCCUCGCUGCUAUCAACACAACACAUCCCCUCCAGUUCACCUCAAGCAACUGCAGUUUCAAUGGCUGGGGACUCUGCAGAGCCCAGAAGGGAGUUAUACUGUAACAGGAAAGGGACUUUAUAGGACCCAGAGUGGAGUUAUACAGUAACAGCAUAGGGAUUCUCUAGGGCCCAUAGUUGGAUAGCUUUAAUACAUACAGUACAGUAGAAGGAGCUUUUACAUUCUUGUAAUUCCCCUCAAUCAGUGUCACCAUUACCGAUGUUCAGGCCAAUAUUUUUCCUCCCUAUUGAUUGCUAUUGUUCCAUGCUGUUACACAUUAUUCUUUAACCUUUUAACCCCAAUUAUCUUAACCCUGGUUUGUAAGCAUCGCUUUGCCAAACUGCAGAGUUAAAUCUAAGCUUAUACAUUAACCUUUGUCUUAAUCAUACUUCAGGUUGGUCUGACAAAGCAUUUUUGCACCCUUAAUUUGAUUUCUGUUAACAAAUAAAGACAAGGAACGCUACUGUCACAGACUUAAUUUUAUUUACACAGUCAAUGUUGAUAUUUGAACUUGCAGUAAAACUGACCGAAAGCAAUAUUAUACUAUAAUUUAUUUUCAUUUUCUGGUCCAAGAUUCUCAACAUUCACCCCUCCCAAAAAUAUCUUAAUGGUCUUUCCAUUUAAUUUCUAUGGGAAUUCCUUCUUUCCCCCUCUUCUAGAGAGGGCAUUUAUUUCUGUGGGAUGUAAAUAUGCGCUACAUUGUUUUCUUCUGUAGUUGGUUUGUUGUUGUUUUUGUUUCAAUAUGUUAUUUUUAUGUACACAGACCUAAAGCAGUGUUGUGGAGACCUGGUCC